AUACUUACCUGGACAUGAUCAAUGGGCAAUCAUGAAGGCCUGUGGCAUAGGUUGAUGACCUCCAUUACACUUUGGAGGGGCGCCUGCCUAAGUUCGGCCCAAGUGGCCGAGCCUAUAUGAUAAUUUGUGGCAGCGGACGUCUGCUUUCGCACGGCCCCU